AUGUGGGGCGACGUGGUGGCGCUCGUCCGGCAGGGCCUGCGGUGGCGGCGGCGCAGGGGGAGGAGGUCUACGGCGCGGGUGGUGGACGAGAGCGCGCUCGGCCUCGGCGAUGCCGGCGCCGCCGCGGCGGUGGCGCCGAGCGUGGGCGGCGCCCUGGCCAGGGCGCUCCUGGCACUAGCGUGCGCCGUCCGCUUCGACGGCGAGGACCUGCCGACGGAGGAAGCCUGGGCGGCGAGCGUAUGGCGGCCACGGGCCGACGAGGUCAGCCACCUCAUGGUGCGCGAGAGCAUGCGCUAUGCCAUCUACGCGUAG
rnacentral:rRNA from 1 species